GACGAACGCUGGCGGCGUGCCUAAUACAUGCAAGUUGAGCGCUGAAGGUUGGUACUUGUACCAACUGGAUGAGCAGCGAACGGGUGAGUAACGCGUGGGGAAUCUGCCUUUGAGCGGGGGACAACAUUUGGAAACGAAUGCUAAUACCGCAUAAAAACUUUAAACACAAGUUUUAAGUUUGAAAGAUGCAAUUGCAUCACUCAAAGAUGAUCCCGCGUUGUAUUAGCUAGUUGGUGAGGUAAAGGCUCACCAAGGCGAUGAUACAUAGCCGACCUGAGAGGGUGAUCGGCCACAUUGGGACUGAGACACGGCCCAAACUCCUACGGGAGGCAGCAGUAGGGAAUCGUCGGCAAUGGACGAAAGUCUGACCGAGCAACGCCGCGUGAGUGAAGAAGGUGUUCGGAUCGUAAAACUCUGUUGGUAGAGAAGAACGUUGGUGAGAGUGGAAAGCUCAUCAAGUGACGGUAACUACCCAGAAAGGGACGGCUAACUACGUG
rnacentral:rRNA from 1 species